rnacentral:rRNA from 1 species
CCUACGGGUGGCAGCAGUGGGGAAUCUUGCACAAUGGGCGAAAGCCUGAUGCAGCAACGCCGCGGGAGUGAUGAAGGCCUUCGGGUCGUAAAACUCUGUCCUCAAGGAAGAUAAUGACGGUACUUGAGGAGGAAGCCCCGGCUAACUACGUGCCAGCAGCCGAGGUAAUACGUAGGGGGCUAGCGUUAUCCGGAUUUACGGGGCCGAAAGGGUGCGUAGGCGGUCUUUCAAGUCAUGAGUUAAAGGCUACGGCUCAACCGUAGUAAGCUCUUGAAACUGGGAGACUUGAGUGUAGGAGAGGAGAGUGGAAUUCCUAGGGUAGCGGUGAAAUGCGUAGAUAUUAGGAGGAACACCAGUUGCGAAGGCGGCUCUCUGGACUGUAACUGACGCUGAGGCACGAAAGCGUGGGGAGCAAAUAGGAUUAGAUACCCUUGUAGUC